UACAGAGGCCUCGAGCGUUAGGCGGAAUCACUGGGCUUAAAGCGUGUGUAGGCGGACUUCUAAGUACCUUGUGAAAUCCCACGGCUUACCCGUGGAACGGCUGGGUAUACUGGGAGUCUUGAGCCACCUAGGGGCGAGUGGAACAAAUGGUGGAGCGGUGAAAUGCGUAGAUAUCAUUUGGAACGCCAAUGGUGAAAACAGGUAGCUGGGGAUGUGCUGACGCUGAGACACGAAAGCCAGGGGAGCAAACGGG
rnacentral:rRNA from 1 species